AUCUAGCUGACGAGUCCUAAAUAGAACGAAACUUAGAU
rnacentral:hammerhead_ribozyme from 1 species